rnacentral:rRNA from 1 species
UACGGAAGGCAGCAGUGGGGAAUAUUGCACAAUGGGCGAAAGCCUGAUGCAGCUAUGCCGCGUGUAUGAAGAAGGCCUUAGGGUUGUAAAGUACUUUCAUCGGGGAGGAAAAACAAAACUAAUAAUUUUAUUUCUUGACGUUACCCGAAAAAGAAGCACCGGCUAACUCCGUGCCAGCAGCCGCGGUAAUACGGAGGGUGCUAGCGUUAAUCAGAAUUACUGGGCGUAAAGAGCACGUAGGUGGUUUUUUUAAGUCAGAUGUGAAAUCCCUGGGCUUAACCUGGAACUGCAUUUUGAAACUGAAAUACUAGAGUAUCGUAGAGGGAGGUAGAAUUCUAGGUGUAGCGGUGAAAUGCGUAGAUAUCUGGAGGAAUACCUGUGGCGAAAGCGGCCUCCUAAACGAAUACUGACACUGAGGUGCGAAAGCGUGGGGAGCAAACAGGGAUUAGAUACCUU